rnacentral:rRNA from 1 species
UGAGUAGGCGGAUGUACAAGUUAGAUGUGAAAUACCUAGGCUUAACCUGGGAGGUGCAUUUAAGACUGUAUGUCUAGAGUCUGUUAGAGGGGGGUAGAAUUCCAAGUGUAGCAGUGAAAUGCGUAGAGAUUUGGAGGAAUACCGAAGGCGAAGGCAGCCCCCUGGGAUAAGACUGACGCUGAGUCACGAAAGCGUGGGUAGCAAACAGGAUUAGAUACCCUGGUAGUCCACGCCCUAAACGAUGUCUACUUGCUGUUGGGGGUGAAACCUUAGUAGCGAAGCUAACGCGAGAAGUAGACCGCCUGGGGAGUACGGUCGCAAGAUUAAA